UUAUAAAGGGUGGUUAUCAGGUCCAAUGCCUCAUUAUACAGAGACUUGGCUGUCAGCACUGCACCACUGGAGGGUCUACCACGUGUUCUAAAUUGGUUAGACAUUAUUCCCAUUUGAAUUGCCUUCACUCCUGAGUCUCUGAGUGUCAGGUUCAAGCUGCUGACCGACGAGGUUCCUUAUGCUUGCGAACCAGUUAGAUUCUAUACACAUAUGAAUCUUCCCCAUAUUCGAAUAUCUGAAUGUCAGACUCAAGCUGAUGAUAUAUGAGGUAUGGUCCCCGCUGUAUCAAUCAAGUCCCAUUGAAAUAUUAAAACGUUGUUCAUACAUCUUUGAAUGACCUUUUAUGUGCUGACAAUAUGUUCUGAAAUGAAGAGAUUUUACCCCUGAUGAAGUCUUGGAACAAGACGAAACGCGUUGGGUUAUUUAUCUAUCUAUUAUCUGAUGUUACCUCCGAAUCUACAAUAAGGAGAAGGAGGAAAUCGUAGUGAUAUAUCUACGCUUUUUCCUCAUCACUACAAACUGAUUGUUCAAAUUGUGCGACAAAUGUAAAUGUAUCAACUCUGUAUACUUAUGAACAUUUGUGUCGGGUUUAUAUGUUGUUUUAAUCAAUUUUUAUGUUAGUAUUUGUUAUCUGAUGUAAUUUAUCCGGAGAGUACUGUAAGGGUCCGUUUUUAGGUAGGGCGUUGAUAUAACUCCCUUGGCGCCAUCUCCUCUAU